AUCAACGCUGGCGGCGCGCUUAACACAUGCAAGUCGAACGAGAAAGGGAGCAAUCCUGAGUAAAGUGGCGUACUGGUGAGUAACACGUGGAUAUCUACCUCUUGGUGGGGAAUAACCUGGGGAAACCUGGGCUAAUACCGCAUAAGUUCGUGAGAAGAAAGGCGCAAGUCGCCGAGAGAGGAGUCCGCGGUCGAUUAGGUAGUUGGCGGGGUAAGAGCCCACCAAGCCAAAGAUCGAUAGCCGGCCUGAGAGGGCACACGGCCACACUGGCACUGAAACACGGGCCAGACUCCUACGGGAGGCAGCAGUGGGGAAUCUUGCACAAUGGGGGAAACCCUGAUGCAGCGACGCCGCGUGAGCGAUGAAGCCCUUCGGGGUGUAAAGCUCUUUCGGCAGGAACGAUAAUGACGGUACCUGCAGAAGAAGCUGCGGCUAACUACGU
rnacentral:rRNA from 1 species